AUUUCUCUGAGAUGUUUGCAAGCGGGCCAGUCCCCUGAGCCGAUAUUUCAUACCACAAGAAUGUGGCGCUCCGCGGUUGGCGAGCAUGCUCGGUUCGUCCGAGAAGCCUUAAAACUGUGACGACACAUUCACCUUGAACCAAGGGUUCAAGGGUUACAGCCUGCGGCGGCAUCUCGGAGAUUCC
rnacentral:other from 1 species